ensembl:lncRNA
GGCCCUUUUCUCUGGGACUCUGGUAGACACAUAGGCCACACCUCCUUUCCUGGAACUGGUAGACACAUAGGCUACACCUCCUUCAUUGGAAGUGACAAACAGGAAAACCAUGCUACCUUCACUGAGACUGUUACAGCAUCCAUGACUCCUUCACUGGGACUGACAGCCACAUAGGCCACGCCUCCUUCACUCGUCACAGAUGCCCAAAUCUGCGCUCGCUGUCUGUGGUGCUGAACCAGGAACUAUCCAGACUGCUUUGGCUUGUUUUUUGUUCAGCUCGUACAACAAAAGGCUCCUGAAGGGUUCUGCGCAUGGCUAAUGGUUCUAGAUUCCUUAAUGGGUUCUAUUUGGAUUAUUUUGCACAUGAGAAAUCCUGUGCUGUAGGGUUCUCCAUGGAACAAAUCAUGAUUCUAGACUAAAAAUCUUGAGUGUGAGUUGAGUGCUAUAGACGCAUCUCUCUCUCUCUCUCUCUCUCUCUCUCUCUCUCUCUCUCUCUCUCUCUCACACACACACACACACACACACACGCAUACUCUCUCACUUCGCGCACACGGAGAGCCGCGGGCGCUCGUAGCUCCUUUCUUCGUUUCUCUUUUCAGCACUCAGUGUGGGGUAAAAGCGAGGACCGGACAGAUGUUCCCACGGCUGAGGGCGCGCAAUCUGUUUUUUAGGAACGCUACCUGAUGCUUGCGGCUGCGUGAACUCGGGAGUCCCCUUAGCGCGGCGCAAGGAAAGGAAAAAAAAGAUUCCGUUCGCGCGCGCAAACCACCUUCCGUGUGCGUGCGCGCUCAGGGCACAGUAGGCAAAUGCAACAGCUAUAGGUACGCAUCAUGAGAGAUGCUCGGCUCCUUGAACGUGAUGAGUUGAUGUUGGAUCACUUCUCCGUGCAAAAUUGCGCAGAACAUCGGGGAAACAAUAUUUAAUAAUAGUAAUAAUAAUAAAAUCUAUAUUUCUGCAAGUGGAAAAGUGAGGAUGACGCCACUUGAUGAUGUUCUGAUGGUCAAAUGCGUGCCACAGCCUCCGAGGUUUAUAUAAACAUUUUCAAAGAACUGCAGUGAAGAAUAAACGAGGAAGCAUGCGGAUCUCUGAAUCUUCUAGGAUUUUUGUCUCAUGAACUUCUGCAUUAUGUAUAAACUUAUACCCAUCAUUUUGGGCCCCCUGGACUGUUGCUAUAUUUAUCCCUAGUAAUAGAGAAAUAAAGGGGGAUCAGGAAAAAAAAUAAAAAAUAAAAAUAACAAGGAAAAAACGCAAAGAUUUCCCUAUUCUCCAUUUUUCAUGCCAGGAUAGGUGUAGAGAACUAAUUUUGUAAUCCUGUGAAGCUGUGAAGAAUCACGCAUGAAAGAAUGCAAAUGAAAUGCAUGAAUCUCAUCCCCCUGCCCAUCCACAUCCCCUUCCCAGAGCUGAACUGAAAGCUGUAACCAUAAGAGGGCACUGUAAUAUGUACAGAUGAAAUGAAGCCUCAUCUUUCAGCCUUGAUGAGUACAAGGAACCUUGAAUAUAUCCACUCCAAGGGCAGUGCAUAGACUUGACCUAACAUGAUGUGUCUAUCCAAGUCAGAGGCCCCAAAACAAAAUCUCACAACCAAAUGAUCCAAAAUUAGCCAUCUUUAUUGAGGAGGAAAAAACCUG